UACCAGCACCCCGAGUGGUCGGGACGAUUAUUGGGCCUAAAGCAUCCGUAGCCGGUUCUACAAGUCUUCCGUUAAAUCCACCUGCUUAACAGAUGGGCUGCGGAGGAUACUAUAGAGCUAGGAGGCGGGAGAGGCAAGCGGUACUUAGUGGGUAGGGGUAAAAUCCGUUGAUCCAUUGAAGACCACCAGUGGCGAAGGCGGCUUGCCAGAACGCACUCGACGGUGAGGGAUGGAAAGCUGGGGGAGCAAACCGGGAUUAGAA
rnacentral:rRNA from 1 species